UUUAUAGUAAUCGAGUAUAUUAUAAAUAGGUGACCCCAUUAAGAAGAUGAGGGCUGCAAUAAGAAAGAUUACAGGGGGGAGUUAAAACAUAAAGAGUGCGAGGAAUUUAUAACCCCGACUAGUUAGUCCAGUUCAUGAUACAUUCAUGAUUUCUAUAAAGAUCAGAACCUGUGUAACUGAAAUUUUUAACAGAGGACUUCAACCAAAAGGCCAACCGAUGAAAGGUGAGGCCGGACCAUUCCUGAAGGUUAUGAUUUGGGUCUUUUGGCAGACAGCCUACACACCCAAACCAACUAAAGAGUCUACCCCAGAGAGACCAAGAUGUAGGACAGAGAUGGAAGAGAUGAUGUAUAGUCUCAAUCUCCUUGCAGCAGAAAGGGCAAAGAGCUUCCUCAUAAUUGAUGAUUCUUGUCUUAGCUAAGAAAUCUUUUGUGGAAACACUGCCGUUUAGGAGAAGCCAUAUGAACACAUCUAUUUUCGGAGGAGCAAACCCUUUCCAAAGCAGAGCAGGGGAGUGAAGGUUUGUUGAAACAAUUAAACCAUCAAGAAGAUGGAAUCCUGAGGAGACUGUGUAAACGUUGGAGCUGUGGGAUUUCCAAAUCUUGUUGUCUUCACCAUUAGAGAAGACUAGACCACGUUCCACUUCUGCUAUCAAGCUUUCCCGCAUACAGAGCUCGCGGGAUCGAAGGGGUCUUCUCCAAGAAAGAUUGAUUAAGUUAUCACUUUGGUUAUGGACUUCUACAAUGCUUAAAGAUUGUUGCAGGGAGAGGUUAUAAAGCCUAGGAAACAUGAACUGAAGAGGGUUUGCGUGGCCUAGCCAGGAAUCAGACCAGAACCUAAUGUUUCUCCCAUCGCCCACCUUGAACCCGACAUUGGAUUGGAGGGGAGCGGAUAUGCUGUGAUUUAAGGAAAUUGUAGAUACCAAGCCACACCAAGUUAGAGAUAAAGAGCCUGCAAACACAGGAAGGCCAUUUACGAAGUAUGGCCGGUGCUUUCGUAGGAUAAGAUCUUGCCAACCUCCUACCACUCUUUUAUCAAGGUUCUAGAGCCAUUUAAACAUCAGAGCCAGAUUUUUGUUAUGAAUAGAACCCAACCCAAGACCUCCAAGCGGCUUACUCUUAAUUACCUUGUGCCAAGCAACCUUACAAAUACCAUGUGAAUUUGAGGUGCCCUUCCAGAGAAAACAAUGAUUGAUGGAGGAUAUAGCCUUUGUAAUGCCCUUUGGCAUAGUAAAAACAGACAUGUAGUAUAGAGGUAGAGAUUUUAAGACAGAUUUAAUAAGACAUAUUCUCCCAGCCA